rnacentral:rRNA from 1 species
AGUACACGUGACUAACCUACCCUUGAGUGGGGAAUAACUGAGAGAAAUCUUAGCUAAUACCGCAUAAUACCUACGGGUCAAAGCAGCAAUGCGCUUGAAGAGGAGUUCGCGGCAGAUUAGUUAGUUGGCGGGGUAAUGGCCCACCAAGACGAUGAUCUGUAUCCGGCCUGAGAGGGCGCACGGACACACUGGAACUGAAACACGGUCCAGACUCCUACGGGAGGCAGCAGUGGGGAAUUUUGCGCAAUGGGGGAAACCCUGACGCAGCAACGCCGCGUGGAGGAUGAAAUCCCUUGGGAUGUAAACUCCUUUCGAUCGGGAAGAUAAUGACGGUACCGAGGAGAAGAAGCCCCGGCUAACUUCGUGCCAGCAGCCGCGGUAAUACGGAGGGGGGCAAGCGUUGUUCGGAAUUCAUUGGGCGUAAAGGGUGCGUAAGCGGUUUGAUAAGUCACAUGUGAAAUCUUCGGGCUCAACCGAAGUCUGCAUGCGAAACUGUCGGGCUUGA